CUGCUGCCUCCCGUAGGAGUUUGGACCGUGUCUCAGUUCCAAUGUGGGGGACCUUCCUCUCAGAACCCCUACGCAUCGUCGGCUUGGUGGGCCGUUGCCCCACCAACUACCUAAUGCGCCGCAUGCCCAUCCGUGACCGGGGGUCGCCCCCUUUGGCCGGCAGGGGAUGUCCCCUCCCGGCAUUAUGUUGUAUUAGGCGGGAUUUCUCCCGGUUAUCCAUCUGUCACGGCCAGGUUGCAUACGUGUUACUCACCCGUGCGCCGGUCGCCGGCGG
rnacentral:rRNA from 1 species